rnacentral:rRNA from 1 species
GAUGAACGCUGGCGGCGUGCUUAACACAUGCAAGUCGAACGGGAAUUACUUUAUUGAAACUUCGGUCGAUUUAAUUUAAUUCUAGUGGCGGACGGGUGAGUAACGCGUGGGUAACCUGCCUUAUACAGGGGGAUAACAGUCAGAAAUGGCUGCUAAUACCGCAUAAGCGCACAGAGCUGCAUGGCUCGGUGUGAAAAACUCCGGUGGUAUAAGAUGGACCCGCGUUGGAUUAGCUUGUUGGUGGGGUAACGGCCCACCAAGGCGACGAUCCAUAGCCGGCCUGAGAGGGUGAACGGCCACAUUGGGACUGAGACACGGCCCAGACUCCUACGGGAGGCAGCAGUGGGGAACAUUGCACAAUGGGGGAAACCCUGAUGCAGCGACGCCGCGUGAAGGAAGAAGUAUCUCGGUAUGUAAACUUCUAUCAGCAGGGAAGAUAGUGACG